GGGGGCGAACGGCUUCGACGGGGAUAAUGAAGCUGUAGGCUGCAUACCGAGGAUUCUCAGAAGACUCGUAAAAAAAACUGAGAAAACUAUAAUUGCCAACGAAGAAUUGGCACUCGCUGCUUAAUUAAAGCAGUGC
rnacentral:tmRNA from 1 species